CCACGGGACCGCGACC
rnacentral:rRNA from 2 species